GGAGGUGUGAGGGUGCCUGGUGGCCCCCGCGGUCUUCAAAACCGACGUGACCGAGCAGCUCGGUCAGGCGGGUUCGAUUCCCGUCCACCUCCGCCA
rnacentral:tRNA from 1 species